AAAAAAAAAAAAAGAGAGAAGAGAAGAAAAAAAUAAAAGAAGUGUAAUUUACAUUGUGUUCCACAAGAUGUCGCUGUGUGUUUGCAUUUCCCUGCACAGUACUUUAUGUGAACAUCGUGACAUUGCAUCCUUUUACUACGAUGCCUUGAUGUUUUUUUUUAUUUGAAUGUACAGUAAAUUUGCUUAGGGAUGAAAAAAUUAGAGCUGGACAUGCAUCGUUGCUGUUGCAAAGGUACAUUGCAUUUGUAAUUCAUUCAACCUGGUAUCUAGAAUUUGUAUGAUGAAGCUGAAAACAAGUGAAAACAUAGGAGAAAUUAAUGAUAAUUACGGCAAUUAUGUCAUCUUCAGUAGUUUACCUGGAGCAAAUCUGUAUGGGAAAAGUAUAAAUGGGCCUACUCAAAGGACACGUACUGUUUUAGGAUGCAAUCAGCAUUUACGUAAUAAAACUUGUGUUUUAGUGGAGAGAUUUUAUCUUUUUAAAUAACGAUUUAGAAAAAAAAAAUAGCAAAACCAACAAAUAGAAUCUGAUAAAUAAGGUAGGUGAAAAAAUAUACCAAAAGUAAAAUCUAUUAACUAAACAGAAAAAUCUAGGCAAAAACUUUAAUUAAAUUCUAGAGCUUCGAUAGUUUUUAAUGAUUGUGUUUCCCAUAAUACAACACAUCUAUUAAAUUCCUUUCUUAUUGGUCUGAUGUAAUAUUUUUAUUUUUGGGAAUAUGAGUUUUUGUUUUUCAAUAGCUCUAAGCCAUCAGCCUUGACUGAAAGAAUUACCUAAAUAAAUGAGCGUAACGGCCAUUGGAGAAACCUGCAGUGAAAUUUCCGUGGGAAAAGUUCAUUUGAGCUUUACAAAAAGCAUGAAGAAAAGACUGAAGUUUGUCUGAAAUAACAAGAUAAGGACUUCUGGAAUCAUGUUCAUUGGACAAAUUAAUCUAAAAUGUAAUUAUUUGGACACAGGAACAGAGGCCAUGUCUAAUGUAAACCAAAUCAUCACUUCCUUCCAAGAGAAAAACAUCAGGCCAAUAGUUCAACAUGUCAGAAUCAAUAGUGAAUUACAAACAUCAGAGGGUGUUUGAGGAAAAUGUGGGAACAUUUAUUAAGCAAAAUACAGCUGAAGCAGAACUGGAUACUGAAGGCAGUGACCCAAAACAAGUCAAUGAACCCACCAAGUACUGGCUGGGAAAUAAGAAUCAUCUGGCUCUGGGACAACAGUCAAAGCUCAUAUACUCCUGUGCUUUGAGGACUGGAGCGACAUUAUAAACUGGUAGAAGACUACAAGAAGUAUCUCAAGGAUAUUAUUUCAACCAAAUGGGUAACUACAGUACUUAGGAGAACUAACAUGACAGGACAGUUGUUUGUGUCGACCAUGGUGAAGGUCAAGAUGUCCUAAGGAAGAGCCUCCGAGGAACUGGACAGGACAUUCUUCCAGGCAGAGUGUUCCUUGAAGAUAAUGAAACUGUUUAUGUUCACUCUACUUUUAAGGAUGUUGCAGAGCCGCUCUCCAUUACUCCCUUCCCCUGUUCUGAAGCAACACUCUUCUUUUGCCAAACCACACCGUUAUGCCGAAAUAAAGACUGAACAGCAAGUGCAGGUUGGACCAACCGACUCUGGUUUCUUUGGGGUUCUGACCGGACUCACCACAGUGAUUUAGCAUUUCCUUCAGCAAGUUACAGUUUCCUAACUUUUAGCAACAAACCUACUGAUAGUAGAAGACCUUGAAGAUGCUACAGUGCUCUUCAGCUCCAAGAAAAUUAUGUUAAUGACAACAAAGUUUACAUGGAAAUGACUAAAGAUCACAAACUGUUUUCCAGUCAACAGGUGUGUGAAUGAAAAAAAAUGUCUGAAACGCCAUAAAACUUCAUGAACAAAAUGGCAUCACACAAGAAGAGAUCUUCUUCUUAGGAUCAGUUUAUACACAGUUAAUGACCAUUGAAUGACAAAUGUAAGUUUAAAACAAGUGAUCCCAAAUGAACCAAUUCUGGCAAUAUAAUAAAUAAAAAAAGUUCAACUUAA